rnacentral:rRNA from 1 species
UUGAAUCAUGGCUACAGGAUGAACGCUAGACGACAGGCUUAACACAUGCAAGUCGAGGGGCAGCAUAAAGUAGGCAAUACUUGGUGGCGACCGGCGCACGGGUAGAGUAACGCGUAUGCAACCUACCUAUCAGAGGGGAAUAACCCGGCGAAAGUCGGACUAAUACCGCAUAAAACAGGGACACCGCAUGGUGAUAUUUGUUAAAGAAAUUCGCUGAUAGAUGGGCAUGCGUUCCAUUAGGUAGUUGGUGAGGUAACGGCUCACCAAGCCGACGAUGGAUAGGGAACUGAGAGGUUGGUCCCCCACACUGGUACUGAGACACGGACCAGACUCCUACGGGAGGCAGCAGUGAGGAAUAUUGGUACAAUGGGCGAGAGCCUGAACCAGCCAAGCCCGCGUGCAGGAUGACGGCCCUACGGGUUGUAAACUGCUUUUCCCCGGGAAGAAUAAGCCCCUCGUGAGGGGUGAUGCCGGUACCGGGGGAAUAAGGAUCGGCUAACUCCGUGCCAGCAGCAGC